rnacentral:rRNA from 1 species
UACGUAGGGUGCAAGCGUUAAUCGGAAUUACUGGGCGUAAAGCGUGCGCAGGCGGUUAUGUAAGACAGAUGUGAAAUCCCCGGGCUCAACCUGGGAACUGCAUCUGUGACUGCAUAGCUAGAGUACGGUAGAGGGGGAUGGAAUUCCGCGUGUAGCAGUGAAAUGCGUAGAUAUGCGGAGGAACACCGAUGGCGAAGGCAAUCCCCUGGACCUGUACUGACGCUCAUGCACGAAAGCGUGGGGAGCAAACAGG